UUAUUGGAGAGUUUGAUCCUGGCUCAGGAUGAACGCUGGCGGCGUGCCUAAUACAUGCAAGUCGAGCGA
rnacentral:rRNA from 6 species